rnacentral:rRNA from 1 species
GGGGAAUAUUGCACAAUGGGCGCAAGCCUGAUGCAGCGACGCCGCGUGAGUGAAGAAGUAUCUCGGUAUGUAAAGCUCUAUCAGCAGGGAAGAAAAUGACGGUACCUGACUAAGAAGCCCCGGCUAACUACGUGCCAGCAGCCGCGGUAAUACGUAGGGGGCAAGCGUUAUCCGGAUUUACUGGGUGUAAAGGGAGCGUAGACGGCGACGCAAGUCUGGAGUGAAAGCCCGGGGCCCAACCCCGGGACUGCUUUGGAAACUGUGCUGCUGGAGUGCAGGAGAGGUAAGUGGAAUUCCUAGUGUAGCGGUGAAAUGCGUAGAUAUUAGGAGGAACACCAGUGGCGAAGGCGGCUUACUGGACUGUAACUGACGUUGAGGCUCGAAAGCGUGGGGAGCAAAC